UACGUAGGGGGCAAGCGUUGUCCGGAAUCAUUGGGCGUAAAGAGCGUGUAGGCGGCCCGAUAAGUCCGCUGUGAAAGUCCAGGGCUCAACCCUGGGAUGCCGGUGGAUACUGUCGGGCUCGAGUCCGGAAGAGGAGUGUGGAAUUCCUGGUGUAGCGGUGAAAUGCGCAGAUAUCAGGAGGAACACCAAUGGCGAAGGCAGCACUCUGGGACGGUACUGACGCUGAGACGCGAAAGCGUGGGGAGCGAACAGG
rnacentral:rRNA from 1 species